GGGGGAUUAGCUCAGUUGGCUAGAGCGCUUGAUUUGCAUUCAAGAGGUCAUCGGUUCGACUCCGAUAUUCUCCACAA
rnacentral:tRNA from 1 species